CCCAGUCUCUCCAUGAUCUCUCCAGCACGGGUGCUUCAGGGUAAUUGGGAUCCUUGCACAGAAGUCCAGGGACCCCAAGGUGCAAGUCCAAAGAGAGAAGGGGUGGGGAUCUCUUGUGAAUUGAGGUUAAUAACAGAAUUUACCAUUUGAAAGUGUACAGUUUAGUGACAUUUUGUACGUUCACAGUAUUUUGGGUUUUUUAGUUUUUGUUUUUUUACUUUUUUGCAGAGACGGGGUCUCACUGUGUUGCCCAGGCUGGUCUCGAAUGUCUCACCUCAAACCAUCCUCCUGUCUAGGCCUCCCAAGUUUCUAGGAUUACAGUUGGGAGCUACCUCUCCACCAAAUCACCUCCUAAAAGCACCACCUCCUAAUACCAUCACCUCGAGGGUUCGGGUUUCAACCUGAAUUUGAGGGAGAUAUAUUCAGUGCAUAGCAUCGCCCCAAAAGGAAACCCCACACUCACCCAGCGGUUACUCCAUGCCCCGCUUCCCAGGGCCUCCGCACACACCGGUCCACCUGCUGCCUGAGGAUGGCCUGUGCUGGGCAUUUCCUGGGAAUGGAAUCCUGCAGUACAAGCUCUUUUGUGGCUUCUCUCACUCAGGACCAGCCUGGGGCGAAACCCUGUCUCUACUAAAAAUACAAACAAAUCAGUUUUCAAGGUUCACGCGUGCUGCAGCGCUGGUCAGCGCAUCAGCACUUUUAUGGCUGAGUGAUUAUUCCACCGUGCGCGUAGACCGCGUCCUGUUUGCCCGUCCACCGCCGAUGGCCGUUUGGGCUGUCUCCACCUUUCGGCUGCUGUCACGUCCAUGCAGAAGGUCUUGUGUGAAGCCUCGUGGCCUUUUAUGACUUAGCCGUGGAAGUUACAGGGCUGUGUCACUUCUGUUGCACUCUCGAUGUCAGGAGUGAGCCUGUGCUGGUCUAAGUCAAGGGGAGGAGAAUUAGAGUCCCCUGUUGCUGGUGCUGUCAAAGAAUUUGUGGACAUGAUUCAGGACCAUCACAGCAACACUGGUAGAAAACACACAUCGAUCCUUUUUCCCAUGGACAACUGGCUAAUUCGUGACUUUUUUUUUUUUUUUUUUGGUAGAGAUGGGGUCUCUCUGUGUUGCCCAGGCUGGUCUGGAACUUCUGGGCUCAAGUGAUCCUCCCACCUUGGCCUCCCAAAGUGCUGGGACUACAGGUGUGAGCCACCGCACCCAGCUUAACUUGGGACUUUAAUGGUCCCCCUUGCUCUGGGCCCUUAUUUGUAAAAGGAGGGGCAACCGUCACUGCUGCACUGCAAUCCAGCCUUUCUGAGCACCCAUCCAGGAAGCCGGCACCACAGCUCUCCUCGGAGCCAGUUUGGAUCAGCUUUGCAGGCUGAGAACCAGGAGGCCGGCUUGGGAAAUGUAGGGAUGAAAGCUGUUUCAAGGCUGAGGGGCGAUGUGGGAGCGGAGAGGAGGUGAUUUCUGAACUGCACAAGGUAUGAAAGUCACGUUAGGGAAGGGAACAGCCUGUGCGAACACUGCCCGUCCCUCCCUGUGGCCAGUCUCUAACCACCUCCCACGCACGGCUCAUCAUGUGUGAGCACGGACACCCAGGCACAAAGCGGGGUCAGGUAGUUUCAUUAAAACAAAACAAAGGGCCGGGUGCAGUGGCUCCCGCCUGUAAUCCCAGCACUUUGGGAGGCCGAGCUGGGUGGACUGCCUGAGCUCAGGAGUUCAAGAUCAGCCUGGGCAACAUGGUGAAACCCCGACUCUGCUAAAAUACAAAAAAAAUUAGCUGGACAUGGUGGUGCACACCUGUAAUCCCAGCUACUCAGGAUGCUGAGGCACUAGAAUCGUUUGAGCCCAGGAGGUGGAGGUUACAGUGAGCCAAGAUCGCACCACUGCACUCCAGCCUGAGUGAUAGAGCAAGAUUCCUUCUCCAAACAAACAAAAACCAAAAACAAACAAACAAAAAGUGUGCAGCAUGAACCCAUUUCUGAGCGCCCUUCAACUUCUUCCUCUGUGCAAACGACCUGGGCUAACGCUGACUGUGCACCGAUUCUUUCAGAGCCUUGGCUUCCCUCCCUUUCAUGUCCUAACUCCUUCCAUUCUUACAGAGACCCUGGGAGGAAGGGACUGUCACUUGCUGCAUGUAACAGUCGGGGAGACUGAGGCAUGGGCCAGUCCACAGCUUGCCUGGAGUCUUGCAGUCUGUGAGGGCGGGAGUGGGGUCUGAACCCAGGGGGUCUGUCGGCACGCCCAUGCUGCUCCCCCGGCGCUGCCCCGGCCAGUGCCCGAUCUUUCCUCCUUUGACCUCACUCUGUGCCUGCUGGGUGUGGACUGCAUCUUUAGUGACUUAUGGGGCUUGGGAAGUCCCAAGCCUUCAGAACAGUGUGGGGCAAGGGGGAUUGAGUGGGGAGGAUGGGUGGGUGCAGUGAUCCCAGUGAAUCCUGCUGCCCGCCCUCUGCCCAGCCAGGCUGGCACCCUCCAGUUUUGUCAGGAGACGGCGCUUCCUCUUCCCUCCCUCCAGAGGGCGCACUGGAGUUGCUGGGAGCAUCUGUACAGAAGCUGGGCCACCAGGUCAGUGGGCGUUGAAAACUGGGACUCACAGGGCCAGAGGCCUCCCUCAGGCCCACCAGUGAAGUGACUUGCCGAAGGGUAGGGGCAGCAGACGAACUCCAGAGACAGAGAGGAACCUUCUUAGCCAGAGAAGCAAAGCAUCUGUAAAUCCCUUAGACUUUGAUCUGAACCCAGAUGACGUUUUAGUUUUAGUUUAAGAAUUAUGACUUCCUGUCAGAUGGGUUGCCCCUGUCAUGAAUGUCUAGCUAUUGUGUUUUUUUUUGUUUUGUUUUGUUUUGAGAUUGUGUCUUGCUCUGUCACUCAGACUGGAGUGCAGUGGUGUGAUCAUGGCUCACUGCAGCCUCCACCUCUCGGGCUCAUGUGAUCCUCCAGUCUCAGCCUCCCUUGUAGCUGGGCUCACAGGCACAUGCCACCCAAAGUGCCUGGCUAAUUUUCCUUUUCUUUUUUAUUUUUUGUAGACAGGGUCUCACUUUGUUGCCCAGCUGAUCUCAAACUCCUGGCCUCAAGGGAUCCUCCCACCUUGGCCUCCCAAAGUGCUAGGAUUACAGACGUGAGCCACUGCACCUGGCCCUCAUCUUUUGAGUUUUAUAUUUCCUUGUCUCCCUCUGUUGCUGAGAUAUGAAAUCUCCAUCGUGGCCUGCAGAACUUAUUUUCAGGGUGCCGUGGAACUUGAUUUUAGUCCCUGCGUUCCAUAUGCAGAAAUGUGGGGAUGAGAGUGGGAAACAGGCCAGUUAUCUUGAGCUCAGCUUAUUAAGGAUUGCCUUCCGUGAAGACAGUUGGAACAGAUCAUUGAGGGAAAGAUGUAGAAGGCUGUAAUCUCCAUUCUCCAGAGAGGGGAGGACACCCAGAGCUUCUCAAACUGCAACGUGGGACAUGUCCAGAUCUUGUUAGAAAAACGGAUUCGAAUUCCACAAUGCGGGGUGGGGCCUGGGACUCUGUAUUUCUGAUGAGCUCCCUGGUGAUGCAUUGUUGCUGUUGGUGUAGGGCCCUCUGAGUCCGAGAGCCUGGCCCCAUCCCUUAGCUGCCUCCCUGCCCAGAUGUCUCCAAGAGGCAAAUUUGACAUAUCCAAGAAGAAGCGCUUUAUCUCCACCUCCUUCUUAAACUGUCCACCUUCCUGAGUCACCCGCUGAGCAGGGCUAUCACCACUGUUUGCAUAGCCCUGACAAGAGACCUCUUAGUAUUUUAUUUAUUAUUAUUAUUAUUAUUAUUAUUAUUAUUAUUUUGAGAUGGAGUCUCUCUCUCGCCCAGGUUGGAGGGCAGUGGCAUGAUCUCGGCUCACUGCAGCCUCCACCUCCCGGUUUCAAGCAAUUCUCCUGCUUUGGCCUCCCAAGUAGCUGGGAUUCCAGGCGUGCGCCACCAUGCCUGGCUAAUUUUUUUGUAUUUUUAGAGAUGGGCUUUCACCAUGUUGGCCCUGUUGUUCUCGAACUCCUGACCUCAAGUGAUCCACCUGCCUCGGCCUCCCAAAGUGAUGGAAUUACAGGCGUGAGCCACUGCACCUGGCCGAGACCUCAUAAUAUUUUUAAAGAAACAGAUUCACGCCCUUUGCAUGUUAAUCUGGGCCGGGACCGCAUUGUGAAUGUCACAGGUAGAGCAGGGGCACUCCGCUGCAGAUGGGCUAGAACUUUUGGGAGUGGGUGUGGGGGAGCAUAGGCGUUUAUGGGUUUUUAUGUCUGUGCUGGUGGACGGGCUUUGUCCUUGGUUGGCAAAGGCAGUCUGUGGCUGUCCCCAGUCACCUGCAGUCGUAGGCACACAGGCCAGCCUGCCUGUCUGGAAUGUCCCUCCUCGCUGCUGGAGGACAGGUGUGAGGAUGCUUCCUGACAUUCGUGACCCCGGUUCCUCUGUGGGGCGUGGCCCUCUGGUCAGUGAAUAUGUGCAGUGAACAUGCAGCAUGGUGUUAGGUCAGUCAAAUCCCAUGUCCGUAUGUUUGCACCGUCUUGUCUUUUUCGGGGAAAAUACAUUUGGGGUUGUCCUGGCAAGUCUAGGCAACAUGCUGGCCAAAUAAUACCUGAGUUGUUAAGGGGCUUGGUCCUAAAUGCGCCAGGUGCUGGAUCUGGGAUGUUGGAAUUCCUGUGUCUAUUCAGGAAUGGGCCAGUCUGCAGGUGACAGGCUAGUGGUGGCAGAGCCAGGGGUAGGACCUGGAUUUCUGAGUCCUGGGCUGCCUUCUCUAUAUCCUCUCCAACCCCCCUGCCAGCCUUCACCUGGCCACAGGGGAAUCCAGGGAAGCCACGAAGCCCACUUCUGCCAGUGACCUGCCUGAGGUCGGAGGGAGCGUAUCCCUAGCAGGCCUGCCUCUGGGCCUCCAGUGAACUUGUUCUUGCUUUGAGGAUUCAAGCCCAGCAUGUCACACCUGAGCCCUCUGCCUACUCCGUUCUCUGCAGAAAUUAAGCAGUUUUAACUGCAAACUUAAAAAUUGUAUUUUUUGGCCAGGCAAGGUAGCUCACACGUAUAAUCCCAGCACUUUGGAAGGUCAAGGCAGCAAGAUUGCUUGAGCCCAGGAGUUCAAGACCAGCCUGGGCAACACAGUGGGACUCUGUCUCUAUAAAAAAUUUUAAAAACAAGAAAAAAUUUAGCCAAGUAUGGUGGCAUACAUAAUCACAGCUAUUCAGGAGGCAGAGGCAGGAGGAUCGCUUGAGCCUGGGAGGUGGAGGCUUCUGUGAGCUCUGAUCCCACCACUGCACUCCAGUCUGGGUGACAGAGUGAGACCCUGUCUCAAAAAAAAAACAAUGUUUUUUAAUUGUGUGGAAACAUAUAUAACAUACAAUUUCCCAUGUUAGCUUUUUUUUUUUUUGAGACAUAGUUUUGCUCUUGUUCCCCAGGCUGGAGUGCAAUGGCACCAUCUCAGCUCACUGUCACCUCUGCCUCCCGGGUUCAAGUGAUUCUCCUGCCUCAGCCUCCCAAGUAGCUGGGAUUACAGGUGUGCGCCACCACACCUGGCUAAUUUUUGUAUUUUUAGUAGAGACGGGGUUUCUCUAUGUUGGUCAGACUGGUCUCGAACUCCUGACCUCAGGUGAUCGUCCCACCUCGGCCUCCCAAAGUGCUGGGAUUACAGGCGUGAGCCACUGCGCCCGGCCCAUGUUAGCCAUUUUUAAGUAUACACCUCAGCGACAUUGAGUACAUUUGCAAUGCUGUACAACUGUCACCGCCAUCUAGUUCCCAAACUUUCUCAUCUUCCCAAACAGAAAUUCUGUACCCAUUCGGUGUCAGCCCCUGUUCUCCUCCCAGCAGAUCCUGUAACCACUCAUCCGCUUCUUGUCUCUAAGGAGCUGCCUGUCUGGACAUUUCAUGUGAAUGGACUCACACACACUGCGGCCUUUGGUGUCUGGCUGCUUUCACUCAGCAGCGUCGUCAGGGUCUACCGCGUUGCAGGGGGUGUCAGUGCCUCAUUCCUCUCUCGCUGAGGAACAGUCCAUGGAGUGGUCCGACCACGUUUUGUGUGUCCUUUCGUCUGCCAGGAUUCCACUUUGGAGCAGCCGCUCUGCAUCAGGCAUUUUCACCUCCUGCCUCUCGGCUUCCGCUUCCAGUCUCACGCGGUGUGGAUGGUGAGGCAGGAUUUACAGAGUGAAGCCACUUGGCCCCGACCACCCACCUGGCGUGUGGCUGAACUGGGACACACUAGGUAGUUGGACUCACGCCCUAUACCUUGAACCCGCCAGCCAUCCUGCCUCCCAGAAUUUGGGGGGAGUGGGGACUGGGGGCUGGAGAAGGGGAAGACAUAGGCAGAGAUGCAGUGGCGGUGUGGGAUGGGAGCAUUCGGCCACAGGAUCCAGCGUGUUCCCUCCUCCAGGGGCCACCUUCCCCCACUACACAGAAUUCCCAUGUGGUUGCACCUACCGGCUCUCUAAAGUGGCCCCAAACCUUCCCCAGACCCCCAGGCCUGGUGGGGCGCUCCCUCUCCCCUCACAUGGCGCCGUGGUGGUCAGUGUCGGGGCGGUUGCCAAGCCCACUGCAGGCAUGUUUAUGGUUAAACCUCCCAGGUCGAGCCCGUGUUCCAUUUUAUGAGCCUUUUGGGCCCAGGAAAGUGGUGCCCUUGGUGAAUGUUUGCUAAGAACCCAGGCAGCUGGCAGGAGCGGCCUUCACUGGGAGACGUGUCGGAUUCAUGGGGGUGAUUGAGGAAGGCCCUGGAGUGGGUGGUCUCUGGGAGGCGUGUUCCUGGGAUGAUGGAAGGUUUCCAGGAAACAUGAUCUCCUGUUAAAAGUCUGCCAGCAGACACAGGCUCCUGCCCUCACCUGUGCAAGCCACACUUGAGAUAAAAUCCAGUGGCUGCCGGUUGGUGGAUGGCAAGCUGCCCUGCAUGGGCACCGGAAAGAAUCCCGCCAAAGGAAAGUUGCUGGGGCCAAUGUGGGACUUCUCUCCCUGCAGGGUUGAUUUUUAAACAGGGACAGUGCUUUCUAAUGGACAUCUGUCCCUCGUCUCGGCUCUGUUGCCAUCUGUGUUUCCUUUGCCUCUGUGCCCUUGAAGCUGGACCCUGUCUCCCUGGGUCCCCUCCCAGGGCAGGGCAGAGGGGCACCCCCACAGGCAGCAGUCCCCAAGAGGGAGCACCCUCCUUCCAGAUGGCCCAGAGGCCCCGGCUGUCAGAUCCUGCUGUUUGUCUCACGAGAUGAGCACAGCCAGGAACCCGUGACCUUGUCCCCAUUCUGUCCUUGCAUCCUUGGGUUCUGAUAGUCAAGCCUUGUCUGGAAAUCAGGGUGCAGACCAGCCUGAGCAGUUCCAUGCCCCAGGAAGAUGGCCCUGUCCACCCUCAUGGGGCACAGCGCUGGAGAACCAGAGAGAACUCUCCAGGCAGGGCUGUUUCCAAACCUCCGUCCCCGGCUGAGCUGCAGGGCAGCCCUCUGAACAGCUGCUAAUGGCCACCCCAGAUCUCAAAAUCAUCCACGUCCAAUUUCCCGUCUUCGAAUGUCACCUGGGGAGAGGAGACACAGCCCAGGAAGGGAGCGAGGAAAUAAAAGAGAGAGAGAGAGGACUCGAACGCACACUCUAAUCUUCGCUUGGCGGUUCAGCUUUCAGGAGCCCCAAUUAAUCAUUAUUAAUUUAAUCUGGGGUGACUCGGAGUCAUCCUGACAGAGAUCAGCCACGAUUUAUCCCACCUGCUAAGGGGCGACCUUAGCAGAAUUCAAUGAAUUCGUCAUUGCGUUAAGCAAGGACCCUAAUGAAUCUCUUGUUGGCCUAGUUUACUGAAUGACCAUUAGCCACAAAUGAGUCACAGCAUACCGCCCCCCGCCCCCCGCCACACACACCAAUAGUACUGCUAUCAAGGCUCUUCUUGACAGUAGGGAGGGGGCUGGGCUCGGGAGGACAGCAGGCGUGAGAGGUUGUGCUUUCCUGCACUGAUACUGACAGCUCUGAAAUGCACGCAUGCCUCAGCAUCACCAGGGCUGCUGGUUUAAAAUGUGGAUUGCAGGACCUCAUCCCCAGAGCCUCUGAAUCAGAAGAGCUGAUUGGGCCCAGGAAUCUGCAUUUUCACAAGCACCCCUGGUAAUUCUGGUGUAGGGGGCCCAGGCAUCUGAACCUGAGAACGUGAUGAGCUCCAGGAGGUCAAUUCUUGGCCUUUGCCUUGUCGAGGUGUGGUGUGCCGGGCAGGGUGGGUGAGGUCAGCGGCUGUGACAAUUAGCCCUGCGUCUUCAGUGGCGUGAUGCAGCCGAAGCGCAUUCUUCUUCAAUCGGGUCCAACGGGGUGCUCAGUGGGUCUUCCACAAGGUGACUCGGGGUCCGGUUUCCCGGAGCCUCGGCCUCCCCACUGCUAGUGAUGAGCAGAGGAUGGCACAGUGGUGACGUCACCUCGACCUACAUUGCGCUGACUGGAGCCAGUCCUGUGGCCCCCGCCUGCAGCGAGGGGGUGAAAAUGUUGCUUAGCCAUGUGUCCAGAGCGAGGAAACGGGUUUAGUGACCAUCCCUCUGGCCGUUGUUGCCCAGCCCGGAGGCCUAGUGGGGUGCCCGGCAUUGAGGACAGGUGGCCAAGCAACGGGAAGCGGAGGCGGAGUUUUCCAUGGGACCCACUGCCCUGCUUGCCGCGGUCACUCUGGUUGGGUUCAUAUCUGGGGCUCCAGGAUAUGCCCCAGCCCCAGUCAUGCUGAGGUCAGGGCACACCCUGGAAGUGAGGGUCUAUGACCCCUCGGUGGGGAGUCACGACCCAGAUGUUUCCAGAAAGGAGGUCUGUGGUUUCCCACCUGUCGGUCUGACGGUGCCGCGCGUCCCCUCCUCCUGCAGGAAGCCCUCCCAGCCACCAGAGGGCGCCGCACCCCAGCCGCUGUCCGCCGCUUGCUGAGCGCUUGCUGUGAGCCCGGGGCCGCUGGACUCGCUCAUUGGACCUUCACGACAACUGAGGGUGGCAGGUUCUAUUGUGACUCCCAUUUUGUUGACAGGAAGACUGAGUCUCAGAGAGGUAAACGGGGCUGCCCGAGGCCGCACAGCUGGCCAGCUGCAGACCAGAACGCUGAGCUGCUCUUCUCUUUGAAUUCCAAAGAGACAUCUAAAGGAAGCCCUCAGCUCUGAAGACCACCUAGCUGGAAUCUCAGAGCGAGAGCUGGGGACAGGAAAGGAUGACUACUCCCACCAUUCUGUGGACCCCGAGUCCAGCCUCCGGGAGGACGCUGAGGGAACCUUUUGGGACAGCCAGGGCAGAGAACGCCUUUCACUUCUUAAGGCUCUGGAUCAAAACAGAGAAGCUUCUGUUUUGGAGCCUGGCAAUCCUCGAACAUCAGUGUGCAUUUUAAGCCAUAAAGCGCAAUACUGAUUACAAACAGGAAUACGGAGGGCUUCCUUUAAACUGCUUCAGAAAAGAAAGUCCUCGGGGACUUUGAAAGGAGCUGUCACCGUAGCUCCUGCAAUCCACUCUGAACAGGAAACCUUCUCAUCUAUUUAUUAAAACUGACCCCAGAAAGAUUUUCAACAGGGAAGCCUGGCUUGAUGUUGUGUAUAGCCACAAAGAAGAACAUAUAUUUUUAAAACACAUUGCCUGGGGAAGGCUCUCGCUCUGUCAAUGGUUCUCGAAUUCUGCAAGACAGCUGUUUCCUUCCUUUCAGUCUGAAUCAGAGAGGUUUGCAGCAAAAGCCAUUUUGGAGAGACCGGGUCAAGUUCAGCCUUCUCAGAUCCAAUUUUGCCACUACCAUGACCCACAGGAGAAAUUCCUCCCAGCUUGGGACUGUGCUAUCUCGGAUGACGUGACAGCGACAAGCCAUCUAGAGUGACAUGGGGCUUUUCAGAAGCGCAGAUGCACGGGAGGUCUGCAUUCAGGUAGUGACAGGUCACAAGGACAGCCGUGGAGGCUCCAAAAUUGGCCUGGGAAUUGGGAUUCAGUUCCACAGGAUGGGGCGGGGCCUGAGACUCUGCAUUUCUGACAGGCUCUGAGGGGCUGCUGCAGCUGCUGGUCUCAGCCGGUUUUGCACUAGCGAAGCUCUCGACCCAGGCCGCCCACAGGAAACAGAAUGCCAGCCGGAUACAGGAUUUUAAAUGGUCCAGUAGCCUCAUUUAAAAAGUAAACGGAGGCCAGGUGCCAUGGCUCACACCUGUAAUCCAGCACUUUGGGAGGCCGACUAGAGGAUCGCUUGAAGCCAGGAGUUUGAGAACAGCCUGGACAACAUAGUGAGACCCUUAUCUCCACAAAAAAUGUAAAAGCCAGGCAUGGUGGCACCUGUCUGUGGUCCCAGCUCCUCAGGAGGCUGAGGCAGGAGGAUCGCUUGAACCCAGGAGUUUGAGGCUGCCAUGAGCCAUGAUCACACCACUGGACUCUAGCCUGGGCGACAGAGCCAGACCCUGUCUCUAAAACAAUAAUAAAUAAAUAAAUAAAUAAAUAAGAAGAACCGGGUGAGAUUAA